rnacentral:piRNA from 1 species
UAAUUCUGCAUAUAGAGCAGUGGUCCAGUC